rnacentral:rRNA from 1 species
ACGAACGCUGGCGGCGUGCUUAACACAUGCAAGUCGAACGGAAAGGCCCUGCUUUUGUGGGGUGCUCGAGUGGCGAACGGGUGAGUAACACGUGAGUAACCUGCCCUUGACUUUGGGAUAACUUCAGGAAACUGGGGCUAAUACCGGAUAGGAGCUCCUGCUGCAUGGUGGGGGUUGGAAAGUUUCGGCGGUUGGGGAUGGACUCGCGGCUUAUCAGCUUGUUGGUGGGGUAGUGGCUUACCAACGCUUUGACGGGUAGCCGGCCUGAGAGGGUGACCGGCCACAUUGGGACUGAGAUACGGCCCAGACUCCUACGGGAGGCAGCAGUGGGGAAUAUUGCACAAUGGGCGGAAGCCUGAUGCAGCAACGCCGCGUGCGGGAUGACGGCCUUCGGGUUGUAAACCGCUUUCGCCUGUGACGAAGCGUGAGUGACGGUAAUGGGUAAAGAAGCACCGGCUAACUACGUG